CCCUUAGAUGUUCUGGGCCGCACGCGCGCUACACUGAUGCAUUCAACGAGCCUAUCCUUGGCAGAAGUGCCCGGGUAAUCUUUGAAACUGCAUCGUGAUGGGGAUAGAUUAUUGCAAUUAUUAGUCUUCAACGAGGAAUGCCUAGUAAGCGCGAGUCAUCAGCUCGCGUUGAUUACGUCCCUGCCCUUUGUACACACCGCCCGUCGCUCCUACCGAUUGGGUGUGCUGGUGAAGUGUUCGGAUUGGCUCCUAUUGGUGGCAACACUGAUUGGAGCCGAGAAGAUCAUUAAACCCUCCCACCUAGAGGAAGGAGAANUCGUAACA
rnacentral:rRNA from 1 species